ensembl:snRNA U6 U6 spliceosomal RNA
GUGCUUGCUCCGGCAGCACAUACACGAAAGUCGGGACGAUACAGAAAAGAUUAGCAUGGCCCCUGCACAAGGAUGAAAAAAACGAAAGGAGCCGGGCAUGGUG